CGCCCGCUCCUACAACAAUAGUGCCCGCCCACCUGACCCCCUCCCUGGGAGAAGGCGGGGGCGGCGAGGGGGCGGCGGCCACCGGGGAGCCCGGGCCAGGCCCGGAGAGGGGAACGGACCCGUGCUGGGUGGAAGGGGCCGAGAGAGGUGUCGGAGAGUAAGACCCUCAAGGUGCUUUUCUCCUGGGAGAUGGUUCUAAUGAAGAAAGCAGUGGUGGAGGCAGCUGCUUCUCUUCCCAUCCCUGCAUCCACUCUCUUGGCCUCUCCUUUUGGGACUCUCCCACCCACAGAAGGUCCUGGGGCUGUAGGUAACAGCGGAUCUGCCAUGGGCAGCACUCCUUCCUCACACUCCUUGUAAUCUGCAACAAGGUUGUCUAAGUCUGCUCCUGAGGCAUGUGUUGCCAUGCCAACCAUCCCCAGGAGAUGGGUUCAAGUUCCUCAUACCUGGCCCUUCCCCUGGGUCCUGCAGGAGCUUCAGAACUUCCCUCCUUCUCCUCAUAUCUCUGGGUUGCUACCCAAUGCCCCUUUCCUUUCUCAUCUCACCCACACCUGCCUACUCCAGUUGUAAUGCCAACUUGGUGACUUCUUGUCCUGUGACACGACAUGUGCCUGUCAGUAUCCAUGUAGCCCUAACCUCUUUUCUUUUUCAUGGCUGGGCAUAAAGGGAGAGAGCUGAGGGCAAUAAAGGAUCAGGGGAGAGGCU